rnacentral:rRNA from 1 species
UACGAAGGGGGCUAGCGUUGCUCGGAUUGACUGGGCGUAAAGGGCGCGUAGGCGGUUUGUACAGUCAGACGUGAAAUUCCUGGGCUCAACCUGGGGGCUGCGUUUGAUACGUGCAGACUUGAGUUCGGAAGAGGGUCGUGGAAUUCCCAGUGUAGAGGUGAAAUUCGUAGAUAUUGGGAAGAACACCGGUGGCGAAGGCGGCGACCUGGUCCGAUACUGACGCUGAGGCGCGAAAGCGUGGGGAGCAAACGGG